rnacentral:rRNA from 1 species
AUGGAACCUGCCCUUGUGGAUGAAAAACUAAUUCCUUGGGAGUUAAACAAGUUUAAGUUGAAUCCAUUACGUAAUGGUGGUGUCAUUGCUUAUUAUCAAAUCAAUAAGCUUUCAGAUCUCACUGCAACUGCUCAGUUAGCACCAAAGGAUAGGCCUCUAGUCUGUCUGCAUCUGAAAGAGUCAGAAAAUUUGCCUAAGAUAUCAAUUAUGAAUCUGAGGCAUCGGAAUAUUUUACGAGUUGAAGCUGUACAAAAAUUGGAACUGCCGUUCUCGAACCAGAAAAACAUUGCUGUUGUUGUGGAGCCUCAUGAUGGACCUCUCACUUGGUUUUUAGUCAGAUUGCUUCUGACCGAGAAGGGCAGUAAUGCCGUCCCAUCACAGUCUCUUAGAGAUGUUAUAAGACAAAUUGUGGAGGCUAUUGAAGAGCUCAGAAUAAAUGGAGUCUAUCAUGGCAAUCUUACAAUACAUAAUAUAUACCAUUCAAGAGUUGGUGGUGCUAUUGUAGUGAAGUUGGUUAAUUUUCAAAACAGAGAUAUCGAAUUGGAGGCUGCACAGUUAAUGGACUGGGUUGGGCUUGGUAAUAUUCUUCAUACUAUUUCAAUUGCAGCAAAGUUCAGGUAUAAUACUGCCUCGUGCUCCAUAAUUGACCAUCUGGCAUCAAAAUUGAUGGCAUUAACAAGCAUUAACUGUCUUCCGAGUAUAAAAAAGGGUACACUAGAUGAUAUGUUACAAGGGUGA